AAUAAGGGACCACUCUCCUUGUCGGUUCCUAACACAUUCUUCACCAAUCAUAACCACCAUCUAUAUAUAAAUGCCUUCUACCAUCAUCAUCAUCAUCAUCGUAAGUUCUAUAAGAGCUAUGGCUGCAACAUCAUAAAGAUUUCAAUUUUGUAUAUACUACUAGUAUUAGUAAAUAUGGCAAGAGAAUCGAUAUCAAUGAGAAUUCCAAAGGCUCCUCAGUUAAUGCGACGGUGUUCAAUGCAGUUCAAAGAGCAGAAAACUAGAUUCUAUAUCAUGUGGAGGUGCACUAUUUUGCUUCUAAGCUGGGAUGAUAAACUAGAUAACUAA